rnacentral:rRNA from 1 species
AUUGAACGCUGGCGGCAGGCCUAACACAUGCAAGUCGAGCGAGCGGCGGACGGGUGAGUAAUGUCUGGGAACCUGCCUGAUGGAGGGGGAUAACUACUGGAAACGGUAGCUAAUACCGCAUACCAUCAGAUGUGCCCAGAUGGGAUUAGCUAGUAGGGGGGGUAAUGGCGCACCUAGGCGAAGAUCCCUAGCUGGUCUGAGAGGAUGACCAUCCCAACUGGAACUGAGACACGGUCCAGACUCCUACGGGAGGCAGCAUGGGGGAGUAUUGGACAAUUGGCGCAAGCCUGAUGCAGCCAUGCCGCGGGUGUGAAGAAGGCCUUCGGGUUGUAAAGCACUUUCAGCGAGGAGGCGUUACUCGAAGAAGAAGCACCGGCUAACUCCGUGCCAGCAGCCGCGGUAAUUC